UAGGGAAUUUUGGGCAAUGGGCGAAAGCCUGACCCAGCAACGCCGCGUGUGGGAUGAAGGCCCUCGGGUCGUAAACCACUGUCAGGAGGAAAGAAGAGUCGGCCGGAUAAUACUCGGUCGACCUGACGGUACCUCCAAAGGAAGCACCGGCUAACUCCGUGCCAGCAGCCGCGGUAAUACGGAGGGUGCAAGCGUUGUUCGGAAUUACUGGGCGUAAAGCGCGCGUAGGUGGUCGAGUAAGUCGAAUGUGAAAGCCCCGGGCUCAACCCGGGAAGUGCAUCCGAAACUGCUCGACUAGAGUCCCGGAGAGGAAGGCAGAAUUCCCAAUGUAGGGGUGAAAUCCGUAGAUAUUGGGAGGAAUACCGGUGGCGAAGGCGGCCUUCUGGACGGUGACUGACACUCAGACGCGAAAAGCGUGGGGAGCAAACAGGAUUAGAUACCCACGUAGUCCCUGAGCGGGCUGGCAAGGCGCAU
rnacentral:rRNA from 1 species